GAGGGGGGAUGCCUACCUGCAGUCGAGCGGCAGCGGGGACUUCGCUUGGGCUUUUGCCGGGAACGGGUGAAUAAUACAUCAGAACCUGCCCAAUCGCGCGGGAUAACGGGAUAACAGAAGGAAACAACUGCUAAUACCCCUGACGCCCAAGGGAUUAGCUAGGUGGUGAGGUAAUGGGCAACGAUCUGUAGCUGGUCUGAGAGGAUGAUCAGGAUGACUGGGACUGAGACACUGACAGACUCCUACGGGAGGCAGCAGUGGGGAAUUUUGGAAAUGGGGGCAACCCUGAUCCCCUGAUCCGCGUGAGUGAAGAAGGCCUUCGGGCCUUCAGCUCUUUCGGCAGGAACGAAACGGUGAGCUCUAACAUAGCUCGCUAAUGACGGUACCUGAAGACUAAGCACCGGCUAACUACGUGCCUCCAGCCGCGGUAAUACGUAGGGUGCGAGGGUUAAUCGGAAUUACUGGGUGUAAAGCGUGCGCAGGCGGUUGUGUAAGACAGGUGUGAAAUCCCCGGGCUUAACCUGGGAACUGGGCUUGUGACUGCACGGCUAGAGUAUGGCAGAGGGGGGUGGAAUGGCAGAAGUAGCGGUGAAAUGCGGAGAGAUGUGGAGGAACGCCGGUGGCGAAGGCGGCCCCCCUGGGCCCGUGCUGACAGUCUGGCGCGAAAGCGUGGGGGGCUCCCCCGAUUAGAUCCCCUGGGCCGUAAAAAAUGUCGUUUGGAGGGUGUUUCCUGAGGAGAUUCAUUGAGGAGCUAACGCAUUAAGUGAACUCGCCUGGGGAGUGCGGCCGCAAGGUUAAAUUUCAAAUGAAUGGACGGGGGGCCGCCCAAGCGGUGGAGCAUGUGAUGUAAUUUGAUUCAACGCGAAGAACAUUACCUGGCCUUGCCAUGUCAUGUAUGGUGCCGAGAUGAGAGGGUGCGGUCGGGAAUAGAGACACAGGUCACACAUGGCUGUUGUCAGUUGUCAUCGUGAGAUGUUAGAUUAAGUCCUAAAUCGAGCACAACCCGCAUCCUUUGUCAUCAGCACGUAAUGGUGGGCACUCUAAGGAGACUGCCGGUGACAAACCGGAGGAAGGUGGGGAUGACGUCAAGUCAUCAUGGCCCUUACGGCCAGGGCUUCACACGUCAUACAAUGGUCGGUACAAAGGGUUGCCAACUAGCGAGGUGGAGCCAAUCCCAGAAAGCCGAUCGUAGUCCGGAUCGCAGUCUGCAACUCGACUCCGUGAAGUCGGAAUCGAUAGUAAUCGCGAAUCAGAAUGUCGCGGUGAAUACGUUCCCGGGCCUUGUACACACCGCCCGUCACACCAUGGGAGUGGUUGCACCAGAAGAGGCUAGCCUAACCUUAAGGGGGGCGGUUACCACGGUGAGAUUCAUGACUGGGGGAAGUCGAACAAGAGCAUGC
rnacentral:rRNA from 1 species